rnacentral:rRNA from 1 species
AGAGUUUGAUCCUGGCUCAGAAUCAACGCUGGCGGCGUGCCUCAGACAUGCAAGUCGAACGCGAAAGUUCCCUUCGGGGAGCGAGUAGAGUGGCGCACGGGUGAGUAACACGUAGGUAAUCUACCUUUGGAUGGGGAAUAACAACCGGAAACGGUUGCUAAUACCGCAUAAUGCAGCGGCACCUAAUGGUGACAGUUGUUAAAGCGGGGGAUCGAAAGACCUCGCGUCUGAAGAGGAGCCUGCGGCAGAUUAGCUAGUUGGUAAGGUAACGGCUUACCAAGGCGAUGAUCUGUAACCGGCCUGAGAGGGCGGUCGGUCACACUGACACUGACAUACGGGUCAGACUCCUACGGGAGGCAGCAGUCGGGAAUUUUGGGCAAUGGGCGAAAGCCUGACCCAGCAACGCCGCGUGAAGGAUGAAAUCCCUCGGGAUGUAAACUUCGCAAGAACAGGAAGAAUAAGUAAGAGUUAAUAUCUCUUAUGAUGACGGUACUGUUUGUAAGCUCCGGCUAACUCCGUGCCAGCCGCCGCGGUAAUAC